GCUACCCCGGGGAUAACAGGCUUAUCUCCCCCAAGAGUCCACAUCGACGGGGAGGUUUGGCACCUCGAUGUCGGCUCAUCGCAUCCUGGGGCUGUAGUCGGUCCCAAGGGUUGGGCUGUUCGCCCAUUAAAGCGGUACGCGAGCUGGGUUCAGAACGUCGUGAGACAGUUCGGUCCCUAUCCGUCGCGGGCGCAGGAAAUUUGAGAGGAGCUGUCCUUAGUACGAGAGGACCGGGAUGGACGCACCGCUGGUGUACCAGUUGUUCUGCCAAGGGCAUCGCUGGGUAGCUAUGUGCGGACGGGAUAAGUGCUGAAAGCAUCUAAGCAUGAAGCCCCCCUCAAGAUGAGAUUUCCCAUUCCGCAAGGAAGUAAGAUCCCUGAAAGAUGAUCAGGUUGAUAGGUCUGAGGUGGAAGUGUGGCGACAUAUGGAGCUGACAGAUACUAAUCGAUCGAGGACUUAACCAUUUU
rnacentral:rRNA from 1 species